CCUACGGGUGGCAGCAGUAGGGAAUAUUGCUCAAUGGGGGAAACCCUGAAGCAGCAACGCCGCGUGGAGGAUGAAGGUGUUCGGAGGGUAAACUCCUGUUGUUAGAGAAGAGAAUGACGGUAUCUAACGAAUAAGCACCGGCUAACUCCGGGCCAGCAGCCGCGGUAAUACGGAGGGUGCAAGCGUUCCUCGGAAUCACUGGGCGUAAAGAGCGCGUAGGCGGGAUAGCAAGUCAGAUGUGAAAUCCUAUGGCUUAACCAUAGAACUGCAUUUGAAACUGUUAUUCUAGAGUAUGGGAGAGGUAGGUGUAAUUCUUGGUGUAGUGGUCCAAUCCGUCGAGAUCACG
rnacentral:rRNA from 1 species